AACACCAUGAUGUCAAUUAUUAUAUAAUGUGGUGUGUCUAAAUAUCUAUGUUUACUAACACCAUGAUGUCAAUAAUUAUAUAAUGUGGUGUGUCUAAAUCUCUCCUGUGUUAACUAACACCAUGAUGUCAAUAAUUAUAUAAUGUGGUGUGUCUAAAUCUCUCCUGUGUUAACUAACACCAUGGUGUCAAUAAUUAUAUAAUGUGGUGUGUCUAAAUCUCUCUGUUUACUAACACCAUGAUGUCAAUAAUUAUAUAAUGUGAUGUGUUUAUAUGUCCUAUCUAUAAAAUGGAUUAAUUAUCAUUAUAUACAUUGUAUACCCUUCUUUACAUAGCUCCCUCUUUACAUAUAUACUAGUAACUUCAACAGCACAUGUGAUCAAACUUAGGGGGGGGGGGGUUAACUUGUUUUGUGUAGUAGAUUUUGAGUCCACAAAUUCUCAUUAUCAUAUUAACACAUUAAAUCUAUAACUUUGAUAUUUUUUUCAUGUUCUAUUAUAUUUCUGAAUUUUAACAAGUUCUUAAUACAAGUUUGAUACUGACAAAGAAAUGAUGAAACAUUUUAUGAUAUUACUGAAAAAUAAAUGGAACCUUAUCUUUUAAGAACAUCAGAACAUACAAUGAAAAAAAAUGAUGAUCAUGUUUUAAACAGAUUCAAUUUACAACAUGAAAUAACGUGUUUUUGUAGGAGUUUCCUGAAAUAGUGUUUUGAAAAGGAUCUUUCUAAUGAGAAAGGAAAAUGAAGAUUGUGUUUUGAAUAAGUUUCUUUGGAAAAAGAAAAAGAAAUCUAAUAAAAUGAGGAAUAUAUUUUGUAACAAUGUUCUUAUUAUUCUCAGUAAUAUCUUUUUUCAGUGGAAACAUGAUGAAUUAUACUGGAAGAGUUGUCUCCCUUCUCCAGUGUACCAUACCAAACACAGGACAGGACAAGGUAGUUGUAAAGGACUGUUCACACACUUCCCUAUACAGAAUGAGGUGAUAUAAUUUUGUGAGGCCUCAGAAUCAGCUACAAAGUACAUUCACUCAACAGGAUAGAGGUAUAAUGUAUAUCGUUAUAAGGCUCUAGACAGGGUUAAUAUGUACCCUUGUAUCCUUGUAAGGCUCUAGACAGGGUUAAUAGAUACCCGUGUAUCCUUGUAAGGUCCUAGACAGGGUUAAUAGAUACCCGUGUAUCCUUGUAAGGCCCUAGACAGGGUUUAUAGAUACCCGUGUAUCCUUGUAAGGCCCUAGACAGGGUUAAUAUGUACCCAUGUAUCCUUGUAAGGCCCUAGACAGGGUUAAUAUGUACCCAUGUAUCCUUGUAAGGCCCUAGACAGGGUUAAUAUGUACCCAUGUAUCCUUGUAAGGCCCUAGACAGGGUUAAUACAUACCCAUGUAUCCUUGUAAGGCCCUAGACAGGGUUAAUAUGUACCCAUGUAUACUACACUAAAUGUAUACCCUUGUAGGGCCCUAGACAGGGUUAAUAGAUACCCAUGUAUCCUUGUAAGGCCCUAGACAGGGUUAAUAGAUACCCAUGUAUCCUUGUAAGGCCCUAGACAGGGUUAAUAGAUACCCGUGUAUCCUUGUAAGGCCCUAGACAGGGUAAAUAGGUACCCACGUAUACUACCCUAAAUGUAUACCCUUGUAAGGCCCUAGACAGGGUUAAUAGAUACCCAUGUAUCCUUGUAAGGCCCUAGUCAGGGUUAAUAGAUACCCAUGUAUACUACCCUAAAUGUAUACCCUUGUAGGGCCCUAGACAGGGUUUAUAGAUACCCGUGUAUCCUUGUAAGGCCCUAGACAGGGUAAAUAGGUACCCACGUAUACUACCCUAAAUGUAUACCCUUGUAAGGCCCUAGACAGGGUUAAUAGAUACCCGUGUAUCCUUGUAAGGCCCUAGACAGGGUAAAUAGGUACCCACGUAUACUACCCUAAAUGUAUACCCUUGUAAGGCCCUAGACAGGGUUAAUAGAUACCCAUGUAUCCUUGUAAGGCCCUAGUCAGGGUUAAUAGAUACCCAUGUAUACUACCCUAAAUGUAUACCCUUGUAGGGCCCUAGACAGGGUUUAUAGAUACCCGUGUAUCCUUGUAAGGCCCUAGACAGGGUAAAUAGGUACCCGUGUAUCCUUGUAAGGCCCUAGGCAGGGUUAAUACAUACCCAUGUAUCCUUGUAAGGCCCUAGACAGGGUAAAUAGGUACCCGUGUAUCCUUGUAAGGCCCUAGACAGGGUUAAUACAUACCCGUGUAUCCUUGUAAGGCCCUAGACAGGGUUUAUAGGUACCCAUGUAUCCUUGUAAGGCCCUAGACAGGGUUAAUACAUACCCGUGUAUCCUUGUAAGGCCCUAGACAGGGUAAAUAGAUACCCAUGUAUCCUUGUAAGGCCCUAGACAGGGUUAAUAGAUACCCAUGUAUACUACCCUAAAUGUAUACCCUUGUAAGGCCCUAGACAGGGUUAAUAGAUACCCAUGUAUCCUUGUAAGGCCCUAGUCAGGGUUAAUAGAUACCCAUGUAUACUACCCUAAAUGUAUACCCUUGUAGGGCCCUAGACAGGGUUAAUAGAUACCCGUGUAUCCUUGUA